rnacentral:antisense_RNA from 1 species
CUUGAUCGAGCCGAGCCACAACGGCUCGUCAUCGGCAUGCGCCUGACCGUACGUCGCCAGGAGAGCUUGCGCCUC